UACGUAGGUGGCAAGCGUUGUCCGGAAUUAUUGGGCGUAAAGCGCGCGCAGGCGGUCUUUUAAGUCUGAUGUAAAAGCCCACGGCUCAACCGUGGAGGGUCAUUGGAAACUGGGAGACUUGAGUGCAGAAGAGAAGAGCGGAAUUCCACGUGUAGCGGUGAAAUGCGUAGAGAUGUGGAGGAACACCAGUGGCGAAGGCGGCUCUUUGGUCUGUAACUGACGCUGAGGCGCGAAAGCGUGGGGAGCGAACAGG
rnacentral:rRNA from 1 species